rnacentral:lncRNA from 1 species
GGCUUAUACAGAGCGAUUUAAAUACAAAAAUUUGAAUCAAUCAGCACUACAUCUCUGAAGUCAUGAAGAACAUCAGUGCCCAGGAAGAGAACUGCCAUGAGGGUGGGGUCACUUCAGACAGUCCCCACUGAGUCAAUGCCCAGUGGAGCCAUAGGGUUGGUUCUACCCUCAAGACCUUAGACUGGUAGAGCAACCAGAGUUCUAUUCCAGCACAGAAGAGCUCUGGUGUGGGCCGCACCCAGCAAAACCAAGCAGGGAUGCCUGGAGCCCUGGAGCCCAUUUGCCCAGUAAAGCUGAGAAGAUGGAGCCUCUACCCCACUGUGUCCACAAGGAGACCUCUGCCCCAGUGGGCCUCAAGGGCAGACAACUGAGUCAAAGAAGAUUCUUCCACAACAUUUAUGUUUUGGACUUGUUCAGGACCUAUCAUUUAUUUCUUCUUUCCUAUUUCUUUAUUUUCCAGUGGGAAUGUCUUUCCUUGCCUGUCCCACCAUUAUAUUUUGGAAGCACAUAAUUUGUUUUAUUUCACUGGUUCACAACUGGACAAAAAUUUGCCUCAGAAUGAAUUGUAUCUUGAGUCUCAUCCAUAUCUGAUUUAGAUAAUAUUUAGAUGAGAUGUGAACUUUAGACUUCUAAGUUGAUAUUAGAACAAGUUAAUACUUUUGGGGUAAUUGAAAUGAAUGCAUUUUACAUUUGAGAAGGACAUGCCUUUUUGGGGGAUGGGGCAGAAUGAAAUGGUCUAAAUAUAUCCCCUUAAAAUUCAUAUGUUCAAACCCUAACCUCCAAGGUGAUGGCAUUAAGAAAUGAAGCCUUUGUGAGGUGAUGAGCUGAUGAGGGCAAAUCCUUCAUGAAUGAGAUUAGUGUCCUUAUUAAAGAGUCUGAAACUCCUCACCAAUUAAAGCUGCCAUAUGAAGUUACAGUGAAAAGACAACUAUCUAUGAAACAGAAACUGAGUCCUUACUAGACACUGAAUUUGAGGGUGCCUUGAUCUUGGAUUUUCAAGCAUCCAAACUGUGAGAAAUAAAUUUC